rnacentral:rRNA from 1 species
GACGAACGCUGGCGGCGUGCCUAAUACAUGCAAGUAGAACGCACAGUUUAUACCGUAGCUUGCUACACCAUAAACUGUGAGUUGCGAACGGGUGAGUAACGCGUAGGUAACCUGCCUGGUAGCGGGGGAUAACUAUUGGAAACGAUAGCUAAUACCGCAUAAUAUUAAUUAUUGCAUGAUAAUUGAUUGAAAGAUGCAAUUGCAUCACUACCAGAUGGACCUGCGUUGUAUUAGCUAGUAGGUGAGGUAACGGCUCACCUAGGCGACGAUACAUAGCCGACCUUGGAGGGUGAUCGGCCACACUGGGACUGAGACACGGCCCAGACUCCUUCGGGAGGCAGCAGUAGGGAAUCUUCGGCAAUGGACGAAAGUCUGACCGAGCAACGCCGCGUGAGUGAAGAAGGGUUUCGGAUCGUAAAGCUCUGUUGUAAGAGAAGAACGGGUGUGAGAGUGGAAAGUUCACACUGUGACGGUAUCUUACCAGAAAGGGACGGCUAACUACGUG